UCUUUGAAAAACAAUGUAAGUAGCAGCCUAUUUAGCUUUAGAGGUGAUUUCGUAUUUUUAUUAUGAAUGUUUUUGUCUCUGUUCUUAAAGUGUCUAUAUUCUGUUUUUCCACAGUCUUAAUUCUGCUGGCAGCGCUUCCAAUAGUUUUGUUACUGGCUGUACUGGCAUUGAUCUACUGGAAAUGCAGAGGAAGAAGAGAUGUCCAAAAGACAACAAAUGAUGGACUAGUGCUGUGUACUGAAAAUGAGAAACAGGGUGAAGUAAAUCCUGAAAGUCUAACUCAAGGAGAAAACUUAAACCCGGAUGAAAAUGUGGAUGAGGUGACAUAUUCUUCUGUUGUCCAUAUUAAGACUGACACCAAACCAGCUCACAAACAAAUUGUCAUGGCAGAGCACUCUGAGUACGCCAGCAUCAAAUGAAGUCAAAAUAUACAGUUUUAGGGGCCAAUUAUGCAACAAAUCUGCAGGUUUUUCCUAUUCUUCUUCUUAAUAUUCUUUUUGUAAACAUUUAGAACUUUGUCUUUAAUGUUAAAUUUUACCAAAUGUUUUAUGCAGAUGAGUUUGAGGGAUAAGUUACUCAUAUAGGCUACUGUAAUGGGAUGGAUGUGCUGUGUGGUUGCCCAGUCAGGGCUGUUAACUCUCAUUCAUUCAGCAUGGGACCUGCGCAGUAGACACUGUUCUAACGCUCUCACGACAUUAUCUCACACAGUGAAAACGCUCAAAGAACGCUUGUGAUUUCUUCUCAUAAUAACGAUUCACUAGUUCGCACUAUAAGAUUUAGCAAAUAGUAAGCAUAUUUGUCAUGCGAUCUUGAAGGAGGGCUCUGAACUCGGAAUAUAGCCUGAACCCAGAGAAAUCCCCCUAGUAUAGGAUGAGAAUAGUUUAAAAGUGAGAUGUUGGGUUGGAGGAGGGAUGCUGAAAAACUGUCGUGGGACGGAGCCAACUCAGUGAGUUGGCUGUGAAUAUAUAUACAUAUCAUGCUAAUUAAGUUGAUAGACUAGAUGAGCUGAUUGGCUGGUUAUCUGAUCGUGCUUCUCGCGUACCUUAAUAAAACAUCAUUCAAAGACGAUGUAAAUAAGAGA
ensembl:lncRNA